rnacentral:pre_miRNA from 1 species
AUAACAUUCUAACCGACGGUCUAGUGAACAAUUUCACUCGCUCGGUGGAAGAUCUUGCCUUUGUCAA